AGAGUUUGAUCCUGGCUCAGGACGAACGCUGGCGGCGUGCCUAAUACAUGCAAGUCGAACGAAGCUUUCUUUCACCGAAUGCUUGCAUUCACCGAAAGAAGCUUAGUGGCGAACGGGUGAGUAACACGUAGGCCACCUACCCAAAAGAGGGGGAUAACACUUGGAAACAGGUGCUAAUACCGCAUAACCAUGAACACCGCAUGAUGUUCGUGUAAAAGACGGCUUUUGCUGUCACUUUUGGAUGGGCCUGCGGCGUAUUAACUUGUUGGUGGGGUAACGGCCUACCAAGGUGAUGAUACGUAGCCGAACUGAGAGGUUGAUCGGCCACAUUGGGACUGAGACACGGCCCAAACUCCUACGGGAGGCAGCAGUAGGGAAUCUUCCACAAUGGACGAAAGUCUGAUGGAGCAACGCCGCGUGAAUGAAGAAGGCCUUCGGGUCGUAAAAUUCUGUUGUCAGAGAAGAAUGUGCGUGAGAGUAACUGUUCACGUAUUGACGGUAUCUGACCAGAAAGCCACGGCUAACUACGUGCCAGCAGCCGCGGUAAUACGUAGGUGGCAAGCGUUGUCCGGAUUUAUUGGGCGUAAAGGGAACGCAGGCGGUCUUUUAAGUCUGAUGUGAAAGCCUUCGGCUUAACCGAAGUAGUGCAUUGGAAACUGGAAGACUUGAGUGCAGAAGAGGAGAGUGGAACUCCAUGUGUAGCGGUGAAAUGCGUAGAUAUAUGGAAGAACACCAGUGGCGAAAGCGGCUCUCUGGUCUGUAACUGACGCUGAGGUUCGAAAGCGUGGGUAGCAAACAGGAUUAGAUACCCUGGUAGUCCACGCCGUAAACGAUGAGUGCUAAGUGUUGGAGGGUUUCCGCCCUUCAGUGCUGCAGCUAACGCAUUAAGCACUCCGCCUGGGGAGUACGGUCGCAAGACUGAAACUCAAAGGAAUUGACGGGGGCCCGCACAAGCGGUGGAGCAUGUGGUUUAAUUCGAAGCAACGCGAAGAACCUUACCAGGUCUUGACAUCUUCUGACAAUUCCAGAGAUGGAACGUUCCCUUCGGGGACAGAAUGACAGGUGGUGCAUGGUUGUCGUCAGCUCGUGUCGUGAGAUGUUGGGUUAAGUCCCGCAACGAGCGCAACCCUUAUUGUCAGUUGCCAUCAUUAAGUUGGGCACUCUGGCGAGACUGCCGGUGACAAACCGGAGGAAGGUGGGGAUGGCGUCAAAUCAUCAUGCCCCUUAUGACCUGGGCUACACACGUGCUACAAUGGACGGUACAACGAGUCGCUAACUCGCGAGGGCAAGCUAAUCUCUUAAAGCCGUUCUCAGUUCGGAUUGCAGGCUGCAACUCGCCUGCAUGAAGUCGGAAUCGCUAGUAAUCGCGAAUCAGCAUGUCGCGGUGAAUACGUUCCCGGGCCUUGUACACACCGCCCGUCACACCAUGAGAGUUUGUAACACCCAAAGUCGGUGGGGUAACCUUUUGGAGCCAGCCGCCUAAGGUGGGACAGAUGAUUGGGGCGAAGUCGUAACAAGGUA
rnacentral:rRNA from 1 species